rnacentral:rRNA from 1 species
UACAGAGGUCCCAAGCGUUGUUCGGAUUCACUGGGCGUAAAGGGUGCGUAGGCGGCCGGGUAAGUCUGAUGUGAAACCCCGCAGCUCAACUGCGGAACUGCAUCGGAUACUCUCCGGCUAGAGGAAUGGAGGGGAGACUGGAAUUCUCGGUGUAGCAGUGAAAUGCGUAGAUAUCGAGAGGAACACCAGUGGCGAAGGCGAGUCUCUGGACAUUUCCUAACGCUGAGGCACGAAAGCCAGGGGAGCAAACGGG